rnacentral:rRNA from 1 species
GUAGGGAAUAUUGGGCAAUGGUCGGAAGACUGACCCAGCCAUGCCGCGUGCAGGAAGACGGCCCUCUGGGUUGUAAACUGCUUUUAUCUGGGAAGAAAAAGGCCAUGCGUGGCAAAUUGCCGGUACCAGAUGAAUAAGCACCGGCUAACUCCGUGCCAGCAGCCGCGGUAAUACGGAGGGUGCGAGCGUUGUCCGGAUUUAUUGGGUUUAAAGGGUGCGUAGGCGGCUGAUUAAGUCAGCGGUGAAAGACUUCGGCUUAACCGGAGCAGUGCCGUUGAUACUGGUUGGCUUGAGUGUCGGAAGGGUACAUGGAAUUGAUGGUGUAGCGGUGAAAUGCAUAGAUACCAUCAGGAACACCGAUAGCGAAGGCAUUGUACUGGCCGACAACUGACGCUGAUGCACGAAAGUGUGGGGAUCGAACAGGAUUAGAAACCCGGGUAGUCC